rnacentral:rRNA from 1 species
UGGGGAAUUUUGGACAAUGGGCGAAAGCCUGAUCCAGCAAUGCCGCGUGUGUGAAGAAGGCCUUCGGGUUGUAAAGCACUUUUGUCCGGAAAGAAAUCCUUGGCUCUAAUACAGUCGGGGGAUGACGGUACCGGAAGAAUAAGCACCGGCUAACUACGUGCCAGCAGCCGCGGUAAUACGUAGGGUGCAAGCGUUAAUCGGGAUUACUGGGCGUAAAGCGUGCGCAGGCGGUUUGCUAAGACCGAUGUGAAAUCCCCGGGCUCGACCUGGGAACUGCAUUGGUGACUGGCAGGCUAGAGUAUGGCAGAGGGGGGUAGAAUUCCACGUGUAGCAGUGAAAUGCGUAGAGAUGUGGAGGAAUACCGAUGGCGAAGGCAGCCCCUGGGCCAAUACUGACGCUCAUGCACGAAAGCGUGGGGAGCAAACAGGAUUAGAUACCCUGGUAGUCCACGCCCUAAACGAUGUCAACUAGUUGUUGGGGACUUCAUUUCCUUAGUAACGUAGCUAACGCGUGAAGUUGA